GUCUUGAAUUAGCUAGAAAUGUGCACUUACAAAUUACAACACACAGAUAAGUUUCCAGACUCUUUACAGUUUACAGAUUAAUAAGUGCACAUUUCUAGCUAAUUCAAGACCCAUAAACUAGAUUCAUAUGGUUCUAUUCUAGAGGCUGAAAUGUGUAAUGUCAUACUCAUUAACAGCCUAUUGAGUUUGUCCACCUUUCUAUCCUAGCACCAAAGGAUGCCACUGUUGUGUUUCCCUGACUAGCUAUAGACCUCACAAUUCUACCAUUAGCUGCAAAACUAAACCCUUAGCACAGCAACAGUACUGCAUGCUCACACAGAAGUAACACCGAUGGUACCAUGAGAAGUAGCACCUUGAUUGAACAAGAAGCGGACAACAACACAGGUAAUAUUGUCUGCACUGCCUCUCUGGUAUGCCUCCUGCAAUAACCUCUUUGCUGCCUGCUCUGGGUCCUCAAUUGGCUUGGUCAUUUCAACAGCUUCCUCAUUGGAGACAACAUCCCAUAAUCCAUCACUUGCAAGGAUAAGAAACUCAAGUGAGCUGUCAAUCUUUUCCUCCUGAAUUUCAGGAUCAGCAACAACAUACUGCUUCAAGAGCCUAUCACCAAAUGCACGAGAGACAGCAAGAACUCCACCAACUCUCCAAGUCCCUGCCCACAUCACAAACCCUCCAGCAUCCUCAAUUCGUUGCCGCUCGUCAGUUUGGUCAGGCUUGUGAUCUCUCGAAACAGCAAUAGCAUUACCACCUCGGCAUAUGACAGCUCUAGAGUCUCCAACAUUGGCAACAAGUAAACGAUCACCAACAAGAAUGGCUGU
rnacentral:misc_RNA from 1 species